GGCGGGUCCCUCCCGCACCCCGUAGUUGCCCAGACAGACCCCGGCGGAAGGCCGCUCGUUCUGGCCUCACGCACGUACAGGUCUCCCGCACGCUUCCCUGCGUGCUGGGUUCCCUGGAGAAGUGACCCAAACGAGGGCGAGGGUUUCACACUUACGCGCCCACACCCAGCCUCUGAACACGCGUGCCACGUUUUCCUCAGCACCCUCCUAGGUAUUAACACCCACCUGGCUAGCGGGAGUGACUGGCCCCAGGAUGGUGGCUGCAGCCUACCACUCAGUCCGAUUGCCUUCUUCCCUCCUGGCCGCAAGUUUCUCCAGAUAGAUUUUCCAGGCCAGGCUGUGCUGCUGGGAUCCAACCUCAGGCUGGAUUCAGUGAAGACAAAGCAUUUGCUUCCAGGGAGUACUGUUGGGAAUUGGUGUUUCCCUGCAACGGGCCAGAACCCAGCCUGGAAACGGAGGGGACACCCUCUUCUUAUUUGCCAAACCCUUUCCAGAGCACAAGAAAAUGCCUGUAAUUACCGAGGUUCAAAGUACAAGAAAGCCUUUCAACCCACAUUCCCUGCUGGAACGCGUUAUGCCGGGGUCCCUUUUCUCUUCCCUUUAUUCUUUUCCUGCUUUGUGUAAACAAAACACUCAUCCUGGUUUGAAAGAACCAAAUUCAUCCUCAAGCCUUGAAAAUCCUUGCUGCCAUAAGCAGCAAUCUUUUCAUAAUUUUCCCUUUUAUUUAACCUUGGCUUGAGAAGGGAAAUUAAAUUUGCAUAUCUGACUCCAGUGAAACCUUCAUUUAUUGGGGGCUGGGAAGAGAUUCAAUUUGGUGGCAAAGGUAUUUUCAAGAACUGUCUAAGUCACUAACUGUGGUUCCUCAUUAACCUAGCAUUGAAACGGUUGUAAACGUGAGGAAUCAUUUCUUCACUUUCCUUCCCAGGUGCCACCCUCCCUAAAUCCUAAAAUGCAUUGUUGACUCAUAAAAUCCACGCUGUUAAAUUCAUAUUCCAACCUACCUCAGAAUAAGAUAAGCAAAGGGAAGAGAAAAAUCAAAGGAAUUUACAGUUAUUACUGCAUCAUGCCAAUCAAGAAUUUUUUGAACAAAGGGGGAUUUCCAUCUGUUCUACCCUAUUUUUCUUCUUCUCCAACCUAUAAACUCCCUGCACUGUUGUCUGUAUCUUAGAAGACCUAAUAAAAGAAUCCCUCCAUGAAUACUUAUA
rnacentral:lncRNA from 1 species